rnacentral:rRNA from 1 species
GAUGAACGCUGGCGGCGUGCUUAACACAUGCAAGUCGAACGAGAAGUGAAGACGGAAACCUUCGGGCGGAAGGCUUUAUUUCGAGUGGCGGACGGGUGAGUAACGCGUGGGUAACCUGCCUCAUACAGGGGGAUAACAGUUGGAAACGACUGUUAAUACCGCAUAAGACCACAGCACCGCAUGGUGCGGGGGUAAAAACUCCGGUGGUAUGAGAUGGACCCGCGUUCGAUUAGCCAGUUGGCGGGGUAACGGCCCACCAAAGCGACGAUCGAUAGCCGAUCUGAGAGGAUGACCGGCCACAUUGGGACUGAGACACGGCCCAAACUCCUACGGGAGGCAGCAGUGGGGAAUAUUGCACAAUGGGGGAAACCCUGAUGCAGCGACGCCGCGUGAGUGAAGAAGUAUUUCGGUAUGUAAAGCUCUAUCAGCAGGGAAGAAAAUGACGGUACCUGAGUAAAAAGCCCCGGCUAACUACGUG